GUGAGGAAUAUUGGUCAAUGGACGCAAGUCUGAACCAGCCACGUCGCGUGAAGGAAGACGGCCCUACGGGUUGUAAACUUCUUUUAUACGGGAAUAAAGUGCCCCACGCGUGGGGUUUUGCAAGUACCGUACGAAUAAGGAUCGGCUAACUCCGUGCCAGCAGCCGCGGUAAUACGGAGGAUCCGAGCGUUAUCCGGAUUUAUUGGGUUUAAAGGGUGCUCAGGCGGGGGAUUAAGUCGGCGGUGAAAUUUUGCAGCUCAACUGUAAAAGUGCCUUCGAAACUGGUUUCCUUGAGUGCGGAUGAGGUAGGCGGAAUUUGUGGUGUAGCGGUGAAAUGCAUAGAUAUCACGAGGAACUCCGAUUGCGCAGGCAGCUUACCAAGCCGUAACUGACGCUCAAGCACGAAGGCGUGGGGAUCAAACAGG
rnacentral:rRNA from 1 species